AUUGAACGCUGGCGGCAGGCCUAACACAUGCAAGUCGAACGGUAACAGGAAACAGCUUGCUGUUUCGCUGACGAGUGGCGGACGGGUGAGUAAUGUCUGGGAAACUGCCUGAUGGAGGGGGAUAACAGCCGGAAACGGCUGCUAAUACCGCAUAAUGCAUUGGAUUCGCAUGUUUCUGAUGCCAAAGAUUUUAUCGCUGAAAGAUGAGCUCGCGUCUGAUUAGCUAGUUGGCGGGGUAACGGCCCACCAAGGCGACGAUCAGUAGCCGGACUGAGAGGUUGAACGGCCACAUUGGGACUGAGACACGGCCCAG
rnacentral:rRNA from 1 species